AAAAAAAUUCUCUAUCCUGAAACGACUUCCCAAGCUUCGAUGAAGUCUAUCGAACUUAAUGAUAGCUGGUUGUCCUAAAAAACGAAUUUAAAGUUCAACUUUAAAUUUAUUUCAAGUACUAACAAACACUAUUUAAAUUUAAAUGUCACUCAAAAGAGGGACAACUCUUUUGAUAUGUAGACAAACUUUCCUAGAGGAUAAUGAAAUACACACAAAACAUUGUAGGCCUAAGAGCAGCCAUCAAUUAAGAAAGCAUUAAAGCUCAAACUUACCUAAUAUUUAAUACCAACAAUUAAUCAAAAUCCCUAACCCUAUAUUGGACAAUUCUAUAACUAUUUAGAAGAUAUAAUGCUAAUAUGAGUAACUUGAACAUAUUCUCCUUACACAAGCAUAGAUACAGAUCAGAACAACCUCUUACACUUAACCAAACAAAUAAUUAUAACCAUAUACUAGUACCCUACUACACACUUUGUUAACCCAACCCAGGCAUGCAUAUAAAGGAAAGAUUAAAAGGAAUAAAAGGAACUCAGCAAGCAUGAGCCCCGCCUGUUUACCAAAAACAUCACCUCUAGCAUUUAUCAGUAUUAGAGGCACUGCCUGCCCAGUGAGUUAUGACUGUAAUGGCCAAGGUAUCCUGACCGUGCAAAGAUAGCAUAAUCACCUGUCUCUUAAUUGGGGACUAGUAUGAAUGGCAUCACAAGGGCUCAACUGUCUCUUAUUCCCAAUCAGUGAAAUUGACCUUCCCGUGCAGAGGCGGGAAUACUUAUACAAGACGAGAAGACCCUGUGGAGCUUAAGUCGCAUGACUCAACACAUACUAACACAUAACCUACCGGAACAACCCGUAUAAGCCCCUGAGUUAUAGUCUUUGGUUGGGGUGACCUCGGAGCAUAAAAUAACCUCUGAAUGAAUAUAAUCUAGAUUAACGAAUCUAAGUGUAACAAUACCAAUAUUUGACCCAUCUCUUGAUCACUGGAACAAGUUACCCCAGGGAUAACAGCGCAAUCCUAUUUGAGAGCCCAUAUUGAAAAUUAGGGUUUACGACCUCAAUGUUGGAUCAGGAUACCCAAAUGGCGCAACCGCUAUUAAAGGUUCGUUUGUUCAACGAUUAAAAUCCUACGUGAUCUGAGUUCAGACCAGAGAAAUCCAGGUCGGUUUCUAUCUGUAAAUUCAUUUCUCCCAGUACGAAAGGACAAGAGAAAUAGGGCCAACGUCCCCAUUAAGCCCUAGAACCAACAUAUGAAUCAAUCUAAAUAUACUAAAUCAAUUUGUGUCUUCCCCCCAAGAACAGGGUUGUUAAGAUGGCUAGAGUUGGUAAU
rnacentral:ncRNA from 1 species